AUAGAGAGCUUGCUCUCUGAUGGCGAGUGGCGAACGGGUGAGUAAUACAUCGGAACGUGUCCGUUUGUGGGGGACAACCACCCGAAAGGGUGGCUAAUACCGCAUAAGACCUGAGGGUGAAAGCCGGGGACCGCAAGGCCUGGCGCGAACGGAGCGGCCGAUGACUGAUUAGCUGGUUGGCGGGGUAAAGGCCCACCAAGGCGACGAUCAGUAGCUGGUCUGAGAGGACGACCAGCCACACUGGAACUGAGACACGGUCCAGACUCCUACGGGAGGCAGCAGUGGGGAAUUUUGGACAAUGGGGGCAACCCUGAUCCAGCCAUGCCGCGUGCGGGAAGAAGGCCUUCGGGUUGUAAACCGCUUUUGUCAGGGACGAAAAGGUGCGGGUUAAGAGCUAGCACUGAUGACGGUACCUGAAGAAUAAGCACCGGCUAACUACGUGCCAGCAGCCGCGGUAAUACGUAGGGUGCGAGCGUUAAUCGGAAUUACUGGGCGUAAAGCGUGCGCAGGCGGUUGGGUAAGACAGAUGUGAAAUCCCCGGGCUUAACCUGGGAACUGCAUUUGUGACUGUCCGACUGGAGUAUGUCAGAGGGGGGUGGAAUUCCAAGUGUAGCAGUGAAAUGCGUAGAUAUUUGGAAGAACACCGAUGGCGAAGGCAGCCCCCUGGGGCAAAACUGACGCUCAUGCACGAAAGCGUGGGGAGCAAACAGG
rnacentral:rRNA from 1 species